GCGACAUUGCUUAGAAACUGGGUUUGGUCCCUUUGCUAAUUUCUAAAUUGCGACACUGCUUAGCAACUGGGUUUAGUCACUUUGCUAAUUUCUAAAUGACGAGAUAGCUUAGCAAUUCGAUUUGGUCCCUUUGCUAAUUUCUAAAUGGCGGCAUCACUCAGCAAUUGGGCUUGGUCCCUUUGCUAAUGUCUAAAUGGCGACAUUGCUUAGCAACUGGGUUUGGUCCUUUUGCUAAUUUCUGAAUGGCGACAUAGCUUAGCAACUGGGUUUGGUCCCCUUGCUAAUUUCUAAAUGGCGACAUAGUUUAGCAACUGAUUUUGGUCCAUUUGCUAAUUUCUAAAGGGCGACAUUGCUUAGCAACUGGGUUUAGUCCCUUUGCUAAUUUCUAAAUGGCGAUAUAGCUUACUGCAACUGGUUCUGGCCCCUUUGCUAAUUUCGGAAUGGCGACAUUGCUUAGCAACUGGGUCUGGUCCCUUUGCUAAUUUCUAAAUGGCGACAUUGCUUAGCAACUGGGUCUGAUCUCUUUGCUAAUUUCUGAAUGAUGACAUAGCUUAGCAACUGGG